CAUUUUUCCAAUCACUGUGGAAUUAAAAUUGUUCUCUCUCUACUCCCCUCAUUCCUGUUCUGUUUUCUCUUCAUAGGUAUAUAUGACCGAUCUAGGCUUUGUUGACAUAGAAAGUUGAACUGCAAGCUUUAUUUCUAAGUGUGGAUACUUACAACAGCCUGCAUAGAUUUCCUGUUGAAAGUCAGCGAAGAAAUAACUGCUUCUCAGAUUUGUCUUGUCCUUCAAUAUGUAUCUAAAACAGGAAGUAUUCAUGAAUUGACAUGGGUCAACAUACUUCUCAUUACCAGGCAAAAAGGAGAAGCCACAACACUUAACUCCUGA
rnacentral:lncRNA from 1 species